rnacentral:lncRNA from 1 species
AUAAAAUUGUUUAUCGUCCUUCCCUCCGCCUAUAUCACCCUGCUCUGUUGCUCCGUAAUUCUCGUAUCAAGACUUCAAAACGAGACCAGGCAUUAUCAGCGACGUCACAAUGUGAGAAGAGAAGUUAUCAGCGACGUCACAAUGCGAGAGGAGACGUUAUCAAGCUUGCUUUUGUCAAGCGUAAAACUGUCUUAGGGAGAAAGAAACGACCAGUAAUAGAACGAUAAAAAGAUAAUCGGGUUUUCUUC